GACAGAGGGUGCAAACGUUUGUUCGGAAUUACUGGGCGUAAAGCGCGUGUAGGCGGCCAUGCAAGUCGGAUGUGAAAUCCCACGGCUUAACCGUGGAAGUGCACUCGAAACUGCGUGGCUGGAGUCCUGGAGAGGAAGGUGGAAUACUCGGCGAAGAGGUGAAAUUCGUAGAUAUCGAGUGGAACACCGGUGGCGAAGGCGGCCUUCUGGACAGUGACUGACGCUGAGACGCGAAAGCGUGGGGAGCAAACAGG
rnacentral:rRNA from 1 species